UUGCCACCUGUCCUCCUUACAGCCUCUAAUUUCACAAAAUCCCGCUUAAACUAAAACCCUAAACCAAAACAAUCGUAGAUGGCUUCCUUCUCCUACAAUCUUCUUUCCUUAUCCUUAUGGCAAAAUAGCGAUGAUGGCUAUUGAAUAAACCCUAGAUGAUGGCUAUUGAACAAACCGAACAACCCAGGUAAUACUUUCUCUUCAUCUUCUUGACCUGAAGAGUCUAGGGCUAAGCAUAGGAAUCCGCAUCAGCUUCGAUCUCUAUCUAUGAAAUUUUGGAAGACCAACGAUGGGAUCAUCAUCAUCAUCAAUGAUGUCACGAUUCAGCGAUCUAAGGUCAGAGUUUCCACGAUUCAGAUUGAAAUCGACUCUAUCCAAUAUCAAUUUAUUCAAGUUCGGUGUCAUAACUCUUCAGCAUCGCACUUCAGAUACUUCACAGAGUUGCAUUUUGAGUAUGAGAUUGUGAUGAUGAAAACCUUAUAUGUGUAGCCAUGGUGGUGUGUGGAGUCUGAGGAUGACCAUAAGAAGAUGAAGUUCUCCAUUAGGAUUCACCAUCUUUUUAUCACCAUGCUACCAUGACUUUGCUAGGCCGAGCACACCUGGUCUACCUCUAUUUUACAUCUACACCACCUACCAACUUCAUGGUGUUUUUGAGGAAUACAAUCUCAUUCGAAGGCUGCAAGUCUUUUUUGGAAUAAACAUUGACCUGUUUGCAUGGGAAGACAAAAGAACCCCGGUGAAGGAGUAUAAUCAUGCUCAGAACGAAAGGUUUACGAGCUACGCGGCAAUGGUAAUUUUUUUCACAAACAUGAUUCUUUGUUUGUUGAGUUCACAGUUAACAACAACAUUGGAUCAACUGGUUAACGAGAGAGUUGCAAAUGCUGAGGAAUGACUCAAGGCUACAAUGGCAUGCAAAAGGAAGUUCCAGAUGCUGCCACAUCAUCAUACUUGCUUUCAGCUGAUGAUAUUGGCUUUUUUGUAUUCGUGUCAUGUGAACCUGUGAGAAGGGAUCGAGCCCGUGGGCCAACUGUAUUAUCUUAACAGAUUGGACCAGUAAUACCAGGUAUUCUGCAGAAUCUUUUGUAUUUAUUUUUGUACAAAACCUUAUAAAUCAAGUAACUAACAGAUAAUUACUACUGAGAAUCUUGAACAAGAAAUUACCAAAACCUUUUGUAACUGAACAAUCUUGAAUGAUAUCAUGACGAUAGACCAUCGUCAACAACUGUUGUAAAAAUUCUUGAUUGUUUUAUUUUUCUAAUAAAGCAAUGCUUCGAAUUAGCGGGCAACGUUAGUAAUCAACGAAUCAAAUGGAGAUUGAGCCGAUAAUUCCGAUGAAUUAGCGGGCAACGUUAGUAAUAUGGUUCUAAAUGUAUAUCACUGGUGCUAAUUUCCGAUUUUGUUUCCCAUGAUUUUCAAUCUGUUAUUUUCAUUAAUACACUGUGUCCAGGUUAAUUUUUUAGAUUGAGAUCUGUAUGUUAACACAUUGUUGAUUGGUUCGAGGUUCAUAUGUAUUUUCUCCGCAGAUUUUGCGAAAGAUCAUCAGAUUCAAUAAGAUUAUUAGGUUUUUGUGAGAUUACGAUUGAGGAUUGUGUUUGGAUUGGAAUUGGGAUUGAUUCAUGGAGAAAUCGAUGAGAGAUUGAGGAAAACGAUGCCGGAACUAACGGUUGAUUGUCGAACGACGUCGUAUGGAGCAGUUUCUUUGAGUGGAUUUUGGUCGAAGCAUUGUGGUGAUGUUAGUUAUAAUCAGCUUCAUAAGGUAUUUUCAUGGUCGUCGUGUGCGUUCUAAGCACCGAAAAAAGCCUCUGAAACGGUUCUGUAAUCAUAAACGAAAUUUCUUCACCAAGUACAUAUCUCACAAAUACAACUUCUAAUGACGAUUUCUAAGAGACCAGUAUAUGUAUUCAUUGAAUCAUUGGCGAAAUCGGCAGUUUCCGGCGAAUCUGAGUUCCACCGAAAUCUAAUCAGUUCCAAAGAGUAGGUGUGGCCAGAGCUAGAGAUUGCAAUGGAUGAAAGAAAACGCAGAACCCAACACAUUUUAAAUGUCAGAUAAAUGAAGAGUUGGGUUCUCAGAUUUUGCAAUUUCACACAGAACCUUCAAGUGUUGCCUUCACAUCUAUCACUAAGGCAUACCAGUAGAAGGAAUGAAGAUGGAGUGAUUGAUCCAACAGAGUGUCAUAUUAGACUUGUGGUGGAAUUUGGGCAAAAAGUCUUUGACAUGUCAAUAAAGAGCUGGGCAAGACAAAUGGAAUCGUCCUUGCUUGAAAAAUGUGGCUUUUUAUGGCUAGAUGUUGAAUUUGUUAGUUAUGAUUAUGGAACCAUAUUAUUACCUGCAGGCUAUUGGAAACCAUGUCGUCCUUAUGGUGGGUGGUUCAAAUGGCCAUUUUGAGCUCAAUUUUUUCAAGCCAAUGAUUGCUAGAAAUAAAAAUUUUAAGUGUCUUCAUGUGAAUUAUAGGUAGUUUUUGUUGCUACUCGAGAUGUGAUGCCCAAAACACAUUUUUGCCACUUAAGCCAUCGAAGGUGUUCUCCCACAAGAAGCCAUGUUUUAUCUUGAUUUGAUCACUAAAUGUACUAACAAAGAUCGAGCCAGCUCCAUCUCCCGCUUUUUAGACGACACAGAGCAACAGGUGCAUGGCAUUCUCAAAUUUAUUGAUCUUGCGAGUAGUGAAUGGUUUUUCAAAAGCCGGUUAAGCAGGGAUCCUUUGAAAGAAACUCAAGCAAUCAACUAAAGUUUGUAAUCAUUAAGCGAUGUUAUAUUUGCUAAAAAUGAUAUAGCACUGGUUAUCACCAAUGCAACCGGCCGAACUCUCUUAAACGGUGUCACUAUAUAUGUGGUGUAUAAAAAAAUCUUUAAUGACUUGUGAUUUUUUUUCCUAAUUUAUAUGGCAUCAUAUUUCAAUG